rnacentral:ncRNA from 1 species
UAAUUAACGCCGAGCCUGUGCGCCUAAACUGCCGGAUUUCUGAUCCGCAGCAUGGCCAGCAGGCCGUGGCAGUCAGCUGCCACCAGGGUUCUGCCGGAAACGAACGGGCCUCCCACAUUCGGAAAGGUGUAAAACA